rnacentral:rRNA from 1 species
GACAGAGGGUGCUAGCGUUGUUCGGAAUUACUGGGCGUAAAGCGUGCGCAGGCGGUUUGCUAAGAGAGAUGUGAAAUCCCCGGGCUUAACCUGGGAACUGCGUUUCUAACUGGCAGGCUUGAGUGUGGCAGAGGGGGGUGGAAUUCCACGUGUAGCAGUGAGAUGCGUAGAUAUCGUGAGGAAUACCAGAGGCGAAGGCGGCUACCUGGACAAUUGCUGACGCUCAGGCACGAAAGCGUGGGGAGCAAAAGGG